rnacentral:rRNA from 1 species
AAACAUUUCUUUUUGGUUUAUUUAAAAGGUACUUUCUGCCCUAUGAUGUUUAAUUAAAUGGCUGCAGUAUUUUGACUGUGCAAAGGUAGCAUAGUAAUUUGUUUCUUAAUUGGGAGCUUGUAUGAAUGGAUAUAUGAGAAAUCUUUUUUAUUAAUUUUAAUUUUAAAAAUUAAAUUUUGAGUUAAAAUGCUUAAGUUUAUUAUUGGGACGAUAAGACCCUAUAGAACUUUAAUUAAUUAAUAUAUUAAUUUUUAAUUAAAAUAGAGUUAAUAUUGUAGUUAUUUUUUACUGGGGUGGCAAAUAAAUUUUAACUUUAUUUAAUUUAUUCAUUUAUUUAUGUAAAUUAUGAUCCUGAAUUUAGAUUAUAAGAUUAAGUUACCUUAGGGAUAACAGCGUAAUUUUAGUGGGGAGUCCAUAUCUAUACUUUUUUUUGCGACCUCGAUGUUGAAUUAAGAAAAAAUUAAGAAGCAGAAUUCUUAAGAUUUAAGUCUGUUCGACUUUUAAAUUCUUACAUGAUCGUUUU